rnacentral:rRNA from 1 species
UACGGAGGGUGCUAGCGUUGUUCGGAAUUACUGGGCGUAAAGGGCGCGUAGGCGGCCGUUUGCGUCGGAUGUGAAAGCCCGGGGCUCAACCUCGGAACGGCAUUCGAUACGGGACGGCUGGAGACCGGGAGAGGAGAGUGGAAUAGCCAGUGUAGAGGUGAAAUUCGUAGAUAUUCGCAAGAACACCAGUGGCGAAGGCGGCUCACUGGCCCGAUACUGACGCUGAGGCACGAAAGCGUGGGGAGCAAACGGG